rnacentral:piRNA from 1 species
UGUUUGUCGACUGUUCUUGGUGAAUCCUC